UAAUUCUCUUUCUCCCUACGGAGCCAAAGGUCGUGGUUUCCGGGCACAAAGAACACAUGCUCAAAACUAUCCUUCAAGAGGGACAUUGUUAAAACAAACUUCUCAUAAGUCUCUGCACAUCUCCUGCAACGAGCAGAACUUCCUUUUUCUUCCUCUUGCUAGGUAAACCCUUUACCCAUUCCAUGUUCUCCGAGUAUUCUGUAUGCAAGUCUGAAACUACAAAAACCUCCAAAUCAACUGUAUCCAACCUAGCAGAAGGGAUAAUCUUAUGCCUCGUAACAUCCCCCUCUUUCUUGAGAUAUCUCCCGUUAUUCUGGACUCCCACACAUUUGGGAAGACAUCUCGAACGUCCAGGCUGCAGAGUGAAAAUCGAACUGGACGAAAUUAAGCAUAAAACCAUUUUUUUCUUUCCUCUCCUUUCCUAUCUCCUCUACUCUGGCAUCAGCUAAUCCUACAUCAGAAAAUCAACGAAUUUAUUCUUGACCGUGAAUAACAAGCUCCUAUAAAGAUGGUCACAUUUAAGUAUGAUGCAAAAAACAUUUUUAAUUUCUUAGAAUUCAACCAGUGUCAGCCUUAGAAGAAGCCCUUCCUCUCAAAAAUGCAAAUAUAAAGCCGCAGCCUACACAUUAUAAAUGAAUAAAAUAGCGAUAAGUGAAAAAGAAUAAUUGUCAAUUCAUGAAGCCAAAACUGUGAAUAGAAACAAUAAACUGAAUAAGAAUUCGCAGAAACAAGUAUAGUAGAUAAGGUAACAUUUAGAGUACUAUUUAUUAUAGCUAAUUCUGUAAAACCAAUGAACAUGGCUCUUUUCACAAAAAUGAUGAUAAAGUAGCAGAACAAUUGACAAUCCUACAUAUACCUAUCAUCAUCCAUUAACCUAAAAUUAUUCAAUUAUAAAUCACCAAGGGGAAUAUCAUAUCAUCAUUAUGGGAAGUUGAAACAGAAUUAAUAAAAGUACCAUGGUAUCACUGCUAAAUGAUCCUCUUCUCUAUAGGUCGUUCGGAGACGAACAAGAAAAUACAGAAUUGUUGGAAACGGAAUUAUCCGUAGCCCUGUAUCUGUUGGACCGGGGGCAAUGUGCAUUCAAUUCACCCAAUAAAUCGCUUACAGGACUGCGUUUUAUAAAUCGCAUCACCUAAAGUUGAAUGCGUUUUGUAAUCGCAAUAGAAUGCACUAUAAAUCGCACCAGUGGAUGCAUUUUAUAAGUUGCAUUUGGAACAGUAAUAACUUGAUGCCUUUUAUUAAGCAUAAAUAUAAUUACAAUUUUUCUCCCGUGCUUUCUCACACUAACCAAUACCAAAAUCGUUAAAUCCUACAAGAAGCCUCUACUGUAGCAAAAGACAGAAGCUUUUCAACCAUAAUCGACCAAAUAUUAGACUAGCAACUCAAAGAGAUUUUGAAAUAGUCUGAGGUACUCACUAACCUGGGAACGAAGUGUGAGAAUGAAAUUACUUGGUUGCAAUUUGCCAGCAUUUCCUGGACUAUAUCUUGAUUCUUGUCAUUCAUGGCAUCAAAAUGUGUAGCAAGGGAGUUAUCUCCAUUUGUGAGUCCGUCAGGCCACUUGCAUGCACGGAAGUCCUUACAUGCCUGUGCAAAAAUUGGUGAGGGUGAAUUACAUAGUACUAGCAUAGAAGACAGAAUCAGUAAACUACUACCACAUAAAUAAAUAUGUCUAUUAAACUGUUUAAUAGAUAGGAAAACUUUUUGAAAGAACAAAAACUAACUGUCCGAGCAUUCCAAACUCAGAAAAAAAUAGAGAAAUGUUAUGAACUAGUAGUAAAUGAACAUGCUCAGAACAGUGAAAGUGCAUCCAAAGAAACCACAAAAAGAAAAGUCACUAAGAUAGUUAAAUAAAAAAAAUGCAAAAGAAGAUUCUUCUGGUGUUCAAGUAGUACUCUAGAUUGGAUGGAUCAUACUUGGAUUUUCUGUACUUUUUAGGGGGCAACACGUAGUGUGACUGGGGGAGUAAUUUAGCUUUGUUUUGUACUUGUUUCUGUACCAUAUUGGUACCAGAUUAAUAAAAGACUUUACUUACCCAAAAAAAUGCAAAAGAAAGAUGAGCAAGUGGCUUGCAAAUGUCAACUAUUAUCCCCAUAUACAAACCUACCCCAUCACACGGUGUACUUGAAGUCAUCCCAAGGUAAUGGGCAUAUUUUCCUUGGACCAAUCAGGAAUCUUUUAUUGAUAAAAACAAAUUGCAAAGGAAUGCGCAUCACUUCAGAGCAUUGCAUGAGAAGGAAGAGCUAAUAAAUUGAUUUAUUUUCAGGCGAAUUACUGUGAUAACAAGGAGAGCUGUUCAUUUCAGUUGUCAGCAAGCUAGAGACUGGCACACUCAACUUGCUCAUCUUUUGUCUAUUUUGAAAGAAGGGACAAGGCCCAAGGUAGAGGAGGGAAAGACUAACAUAUCAUCGAACUAAAAGAUUGAAAGUCCUUACAAGGAGAAAGAAAGUGAAUCACCAGCUCCAAGGAUGGAAUGCGGAUGCCAGUUAUGUCCUUUUCCCUAUCAAAGCUCUGGGAUAAAGCAGAAAUGACAUCAUGAUGUGCACAAAAUGACCCAGCUGCAAAAAGGAAAUAGUUUUGCUAUUGUACAGUAACAUUUACCUCGUGGUACCAUGAGAAUAGAGGAAUAAUUGCCAAACCAUCAGUGACACUAGGAUUAGUUUCCACUCCAAGCGUCUGACAUGCAUCAAGCAUUUUAUCCAGCUUCUGAAGAGAAUCAAUCUGGGUACGGAGGAUGCAUCACAUUAAUCACAUGGUGUUGCUUAUGGAUUUACAAAACUACCAUUAUAGCUGGAAAAACAGUGGCAACGGAAGAAGGGAAAAAAGAAAAGAGGGGAGGAAACACCACCAAUGUUCAUUCUUAAGUGUUACUUUUUUCUACAUGGAUGAAGCUUUUGAGACCUAAAGUUAAAAGACUGUCUAAAGGGCAACGUCAUUGACUGAGAAAGGGACAUGCAUCAAACACCGCAACCAUAAACGCUUCAAAAGGCGAAUUUCUGCUCAGUUAAAAAUCCUCAUUAAGCGACGCGAUUCCAUGAUGUCACAAAAACAUUUAAACAAGAAUACAAGAUACAACUACACAUGAAUGCUAAAUAGCACCAACAACUAGUUACACCUAUGAUGCAAUUCUACACAGUAAAUUUGAACUAAAUUCUGUAAAUCACAUCUUCAUGGAAUGAUAUGAAGAAAAGCAUGCUUACAUAGUUCUCUUUCUCCCUACGGAGCCAAAGGUCGUGGUUUCCAGGCACAAAGAACACAUGCUCAAAACUAUCCUUCAAGAGGGACAUUGUUAAAACAAACUUCUCAUAAGUCUCUGCAACAUCUCCUGCAACGAGCAGAACGUCCUUUUUUUUCCCCUUGCUAGGUAAACCCUUUACCCAUUCCAUGUUCUCCGAGUAUUCUGUAUGCAAGUCUGAAACUACGAAAACCUUCAAACCAACUGUAUCCAACCUAGCAGAAGGGAUAAUCCUCUGCCUCGUAACAUCCCCCUCUUUCAUGAGAUAU
rnacentral:lncRNA from 1 species